rnacentral:lncRNA from 1 species
CUUCUAGUCUGAUGUCCUCACUUCACCCUCUCUGCAGCCAGAGCUGAGUCUCCCACUCCCCUGGGAAGAAAGGAGCUUUGUCUGCCCAGUAGUCUAGCAGGCAUAGCAAAUGGAGAGGCAGGAACUUUGAAGCCCACCUCCUUCAGGAAGCUUUCUCUGCUUAAGUGCCGCAGAACACUCUUUUUUAACGUUGCACCGCCGGGGAAUGUGAGCUGGACUGUCCAAACGAGAGGACAGGAGCCCCGUCAGACUUGCUUUGUGACUGUCCUGAAUACUUAACACAAUGCUUAGUCCAGAGAAGGGACUCACUAAAUAUUCAUGGAAGGAAGAAAGGAAGAAAUAAGUUCUUCUUAAAACCCAAAGUGCCUUUAUUUUAAAUAAAACAGUACACAACUGCCAGUACAUGCAGGUGGAUAGCAAUGAACUGUGAUGGGAGCGGGUCCAUGACUCUGCAUCCCAGGCUCCCUUUGUUUCUCUGCAACUGUCUCUAAGUUGAAAUGCAGAGCCAAACCCACCCAUUUUCUAAAUGAAGAAACUGAGGUCCCCAAAGGAAAAAUGACCUGUCUAAGCCAGAACGGACACCAAGGCUAUUGUUUAUGUGGUCUGUGGAGACAGAGAAUUCACACAGGGUCAGCGCACAGAAGCACUGGAUGAAUGAAGCGUUGGAGGGAGUGGGCAGGGGAGGGGGACUUGUUGAUUCCCAGGCUGCGUGGGCCAGGCAAGAGUCGAGAGCAACACCGGUGAGGAAGGAUGCCACACCAGAAUCAAAGCUAAGGCCACAGAAGGAGCCAAAGAAGGCAGCAUUAACGCAGAGGAAAGAAGCCUACUCAACAUGAAGAUAUUGAAGAUGAAGAC